GGGGAUUUUGCUCAGUGGUAGAGCACUUGCCUAGCAAGCGCAAGGCCCUGGGUUCGGUUCCCAGCUCCG
rnacentral:tRNA from 1 species